ACGCUCGACACCUACGGGAGGCAGCAGUGGGGAAUAUUGGGCAAUGGGCGCAAGCCUGACCCAGCAAUGCCGCGUGAAGGAAGAAGGCUUUCGGGUUGUAAACUUCUUUUGUCAGGGAAGAGAAGAAGACGGUACCUGACGAAUAAGCCACGGCUAACUACGUGCCCGCAGCCGCGGUAAUCUGAGCGGGCUGGCAGGC
rnacentral:rRNA from 1 species